rnacentral:rRNA from 1 species
GAUGAACGCUGGCGGCGUGCCUAAUACAUGCAAGUCGAGCGAACAGACGAGGAGCUUGCUCCUCUGACGUUAUCGGCGGACGGGUGAGUAACACGUGGAUAACCUACCUAUAAGACUGGGAUAACUUCGGGAAACCGGAGCUACUACCGGAUAAUAUAUUGAACCGCAUGGUUCAAUAGUGAAAGACGGUUUUGCUGUCACUUAUAGAUGGAUCCGCGCCGCAUUAGCUAGUUGGUAAGGUAACGGCUUACCAAGGCGACGAUGCGUAGCCGACCUGAGAGGGUGAACGGCCACACUGGAACUGAGACACGGUCCAGACUCCUACGGGAGGCAGCAGUAGGGAAUCUUCCGCAAUGGGCGAAAGCCUGACGGAGCAACGCCGCGUGAGUGAUGAAGGUCUUCGGAUCGUAAAACUCUGUUAUUAGGGAAGAACAAAUGUGUAAGUAACUAUGCACGUCUUGACGGUACCUAAUCAGAAAGCCACGGCUAACUACGUG